GACGAACGCUGGCGGCGUGCUUAACACAUGCAAGUCGAACGAUGAAGCCGGAGCUUGCUCUGGUGAAUUAGUGGUGAACGGGUGAGUAACACGUGAGUAACCUGCCCUUGACUCUGGGAUAACUGCUAGAAAUGGUAGCUAAUACCGGAUACGACCCUCGGAGGCAUCUUCAGGGGGUGGAAAGAAUUUCGGUCAAGGAUGGACUCGCGGCCUAUCAGCUAGUUGGUGAGGUAAUGGCUCACCAAGGCGACGACGGGUAGCCGGCCUGAGAGGGUGACCGGCCACACUGGGACUGAGACACGGCCCAGACUCCUACGGGAGGCAGCAGUGGGGAAUAUUGCACAAUGGGCGCAAGCCUGAUGCAGCAACGCCGCGUGAGGGAUGACGGCCUUCGGGUUGUAAACCUCUUUUAGUAGGGAAGAAGCGAAAGUGACGGUACCUGCAGAAAAAGCACCGGCUAACUACGUGCCAGCAGCAGCCGCCG
rnacentral:rRNA from 1 species